GGGGGCGUAGCUCAGUUGGUUAGAGCAGCGGACUCAUAAUCUGCCGGUCGCGGGUUCGAGUCCCGCCGCCCCCA
rnacentral:tRNA from 1 species